GAUGAACGCUAGCGGGAGGCCUAACACAUGCAAGCCGAGCGGUAGAGUCUCUUCGGGGACUUGAGAGCGGCGUACGGGUGCGGAACACGUGUGCAACCUGCCUUUAUCAGGGGGAUAGCCUUUCGAAAGGAAGAUUAAUACCCCAUAAUAUAUUGAGUGGCAUCACUUGAUAUUGAAAACUCCGGUGGAUAUAGAUGGGCACGCGCAAGAUUAGAUAGUUGGUGAGGUAACGGCUCACCAAGUCAGUGAUCUUUAGGGGGCCUGAGAGGGUGAUCCCCCACACUGGUACUGAGACACGGACCAGACUCCUACGGGAGGCAGCAGUGAGGAAUAUUGGACAAUGGGUGAGAGCCUGAUCCAGCCAUCCCGCGUGAAGGACGACUGCCCUAUGGGUUGUAAACUUCUUUUGUACAGGGAUAAACCCAGAUACGUGUAUCUGGCUGAAGGUACUGCACGAAUAAGCACCGGCUAACUCCGUG
rnacentral:rRNA from 1 species